UACGUAGGGUGCAAGCGUUAAUCGGAAUUACUGGGCGUAAAGCGUGCGCAGGCGGUUUUGUAAGUCUGACGUGAAAUCCCCGGGCUCAACCUGGGAAUUGCGAUGAAGACUGCAAGGCUAGAAUCUGGCAGAGGGGGGUAGAAUUCCACGUGUAGCAGUGAAAUGCGUAGAGAUGUGGAGGAACACCGAUGGCGAAGGCAGCCCCCUGGGUCAAGAUUGUCGCUCAUGCACGAAAGCGUGGGGAGCAAACAGG
rnacentral:rRNA from 1 species